CUCAGCUUGCAAAAUGAGCUUAAACACGUUCGUACGUCAAAGUCGAAGCUCGGCAACAGCUAGCAGAUUAGCCUCGCUCCGAGUGCUUUACCCGUAGUUCGUCGACAGGUGGUGCUCCUGCUCCACGCUAUUCAGCAAGAUAUUGAGAAGGACACUAAUGUUUUCAGAAUCGACGGCGAUAGCUAGUUUACCAGGAUCGCAGCUCCCUGCAACGCCGCCGGCGCCUGAAUCCUAGCGCAAUCAGCUGUUGCCGCCGCUCGCCGACGCGCCGCCGAAUCAGCUCUCCGCUUCCGCAUCCAUUUCCGCACCGCGCCCGGCUCGCCCGCGUCCUCCAGGUGGUCGCUCGCACCUCUCGCCACGUGCACUGCACCGGCACCACCCAGGAUCUCCCAUUCCGAACCGCCGUGCCGUCGAGCGCGAGUUCCUGCCUUCCUGGUCGAGAAGAAGCCGCCGGGCCACAUUUUCCAAUACACCUACCUACGCCGUCCAGCGCGAGUUCCAGAUUGAUCUGAAAAGGCGGAAGAAGCAAUUGCUUUGACAGAAACCAUCCCCGAUGAGGAGUCACACUGUUUAUGGAGUCAGCUCACCGUUGAUAGUGCACAAGAGGAGAAGCUAGGCUAUUGAACUGUAGGGCUGAAGUUAUGUUCUACUGUUGUGUCUUGGGAGUGUAUCCUGCAAUCUAGGCGUCUGCAAGGGGAAAGAAGUUGGGAAAUGCAGGCUCGUUUGCUCUUGUGAUAGUAGCCCUUGUGUGGUGGCGUGUAAUACUGUCAGCUUGUGUUGUUAGCAUGUUCCCAGGAAACUUUAAUUCUCCCAUGUGUAUUUUUGUUGUUUCAGUAAUCCUGCAAUAACUCCUUCUGCUUUAAUCUGAAGGAAGAAGGAUGGGUUUCAUAUCUACUGUUUGUUGAGAACUUUCUCUAGGUUUAUUUAUGUCACAUUGUUAUA